rnacentral:rRNA from 1 species
GAUGAACGCUGGCGGCGCGCCUAACACAUGCAAGUCGAACGGUUAAAGCAUCUUCGGAUGUGCAUAAAGUGGCGAACGGCUGAGUAACACGUGGGCAACCUGCCCCUCGCAUCGGGACAGCCUCGGGAAACCGUGGUUAAUACCGGAUACUCCGCCACCCCCGCAUGGGGGAGGCGGGAAAGCCCAGACGGCGAGGGAUGGGCCCGCGGCCUGUUAGCUUGUUGGUGUGGCAGUGGCCCACCAAGGCGAUGAUGGGUAGCCGGGUUGAGAGACCGACCGGCCAGAUUGGGACUGAGACACGGCCCAGACUCCUACGGGAGGCAGCAGUGGGGAAUCUUGCACAAUGGGCGAAAGCCUGAUGCAGCGACGCCGCGUGCGGGACGAAGGCCUUCGGGUCGUAAACCGCUUUCAGCAGGGACGAGGCCGCAAGGUGACGGUACCUGCAGAAGAAGCCCCGGCUAACUACGUGCCAGCAGCCGCGGUAAUACGUAGGGGGCGAGCGUUAUCCGGAUUCAUUGGGCGUAAAGCGCGCGUAGGCGGCCUGCUAGGUCGGGAGUCAAAUCCGGGGGCUCAACCCCCGUCCGCUCCCGAUACCGGCUGGCUUGAGUCUGGUAGGGGAAGGUGGAAUUCCCAGUGUAGCGGUGGAAUGCGCAGAUAUUGGGAAGAACACCGGUGGCGAAGGCGGCCUUCUGGGCCACGACUGACGCUGAGGCGCGAAAGCUAGGGGAGCGAACAGG